CGUCGCCGCGGCAAAAUCAAAUUUUAAAUUUGGAAGCCUUCGAGAAUCAAGACUAGUGAUGUACCACCGGCCAUGUAUCACAGAUAAUGAUUGGAUACGCCACGCCUACCGCAUCAAUCAAAAACGCGAGGGUGGCUGACCGAAACCUGUUGAGCUCUUCCUUCACGCUUCUUCACCCCUUCGUGCCCUAGUACUCCUUGAGGUUCCAGGGGGAUGGGAGCUCAAGUAAGGGUGGCCAGGAAGGAUAUUUUGCGAAAGCUUGGAUGUCUUGUUAGACGCAAUGUCGCGGGUGGCAAAAAAUAAACAUGUGAAACGAGGCAACCUGUGAAGAAAACACAAAAAGAUGGAAAGUGUAGUAUGCUGGCGUGACGAACUCAUUUAAACCACUUGAUUAAUGUUAUAAAAGACAAAGCGGUCCAGACACUUCCGGUGAGCGUAGCUGUUUCCGGCUAAAACGACGCCAUCUUUGAGAAAAAUACCGGAAAUUCCAAGAGUUGAUGCUGGUUUUGUUUAUUGAGAAACAUAAUAAUAUGUAUUAUUAUACUCACUUAUACCUAAAAUGAUAAGUUCUACCAAUAGUUUAAGAAACUUUAGGUAUGUAAGCUAUAAAAUUUACUUGGAAAUUAUACAAUCUCAUGAAUAUUUGAGUAAAAAAAACCAUUAACCGGGAACCAGAGACAAUUUUGUUUCUUAUUUAUAUUAAUGCUAAACGACCACACUUCCCAAAAUUGGAAGGAGGCUGCGCGAAAAAUAAAUUCGAAAAUGGAACGGGAGUUUUUUUUUCAUAACGCUACAUUAGUGUUGGUGCCACAAGUUAUUUAUGGUAGGCAUUUCGUGAAUUUAUGUCUUAGCCGAAAUGACGGGGGGCUGGCAACCCCGUAAGUAAAAUGUCAUUUGGUGUCCCUUC